AAUCAACGCUGGCGGCGUGCCUCAGACAUGCAAGUCGAACGCGAAAGUCCCCUUCGGGGGACAAGUAGAGUGGCGCACGGGUGAGUAACACGUGGGUAAUUUACCUUCGGGUGGGGAAUAACAGUCGGAAACGACUGCUAAUACCGCAUGACGCAGCGGCACCACAUGGUGACAGUUGUUAAAGCGGGGGAUCGCAAGACCUCGCGCCUGAAGAGAAGCCCGCGGCAGAUAGCUUGUUGGUGGGGUAACGGCCUACCAAGGCGAUGAUCCGUAGCUGGUCUGAGAGGAUGAUCAGCCACACUGGGACUGAGACACGGCCCAGACUCCUACGGGAGGCAGCAGUGGGGAAUAUUGGACAAUGGCGCAAGCCUGAUCCAGCAACGCCGCGUGAGUGAGGAAGGCCUUAGGGUUGUAAGCUCUUUCACCCGCGACGAUGAUGACGGUAGCGGGAGAAGAAGCCCGGCUAACUUCGUGACAGCAGCCGCU
rnacentral:rRNA from 1 species